CAGCAGCCGCGGGAAAACGGAAGGUCCAGGCGUUAUCCGGAUUUAUUGGGCGUAAAGGGUGCGUAGGCGGUUUGGCGAGUCUUGUGUGAAAUCUAUGGGCUCAACCCAUAGCCUGCACGAGAAACUACCGGGCUUGAGUGAUGGAGAGGUGAGUGGAAUUUCCGGUGUAGCGGUGAAAUGCGUAGAUAUCGGAAGGAACACCUGUGGCGAAAGCGGCCCACUGGACAUUAACUGACACUGAUGCACGAAAGCUAGGGGAGCAAACAGGAUUAGAUACCCCCGUAGUCCCUGUCUCUUAUAC
rnacentral:rRNA from 1 species